UACGUAGGUGGCAAGCGUUGUCCGGAUUUACUGGGCGUAAAGAGCGCGCAGGCGGUCGUUCAAGUCGCGUGUGAAAGCCCCCGGCUCAACUGGGGAGGGUCACGCGAUACUGAUCGACUCGAAGGCAGGAGAGGGUAGUGGAAUUCCCGGUGUAGUGGUGAAAUGCGUAGAUAUCUGGAGGAACACCGGUGGCGAAGGCGGCAUCCUGGACCGGCAUUGACGCUGAGGCGCGAAAGCUAGGGGAGCAAACAGG
rnacentral:rRNA from 1 species